GGGGGCAACAUCUCGAAAGGGAUGCUAAUACCGCAUACGUCCUACGGGAGAAAGCAGGGGAUCUUCGGACCUUGCGCUAAUAGAUGAGCCUAAGUCGGAUUAGCUAGUUGGUGGGGUAAAGGCCUACCAAGGCGACGAUCUGUAGCGGGUCUGAGAGGAUGAUCCGCCACACUGGGACUGAGACACGGCCCAGACUCCUACGGGAGGCAGCAGUGGGGAAUAUUGGACAAUGGGGGGAACCCUGAUCCAGCCAUGCCGCGUGUGUGAAGAAGGCCUUAUGGUUGUAAAGCACUUUAAGCGAGGAGGAGGCUACUUUAGUUAAUACCUAGAGAUAGUGGACGUUACUCGCAGAAUAAGCACCGGCUAACUCUGUGCCAGCAGCCGCGGUAAUACAGAGGGUGCGAGCGUUAAUCGGAUUUACUGGGCGUAAAGCGUGCGUAGGCGGCUUAUUAAGUCGGAUGUGAAAUCCCCGAGCUUAACUUGGGAAUUGCAUUCGAUACUGGUGAGCUAGAGUAUGGGAGAGGAUGGUAGAAUUCCAGGUGUAGCGGUGAAAUGCGUAGAGAUCUGGAGGAAUACCGAUGGCGAAGGCAGCCAUCUGGCCUAAUACUGACGCUGAGGUACGAAAGCAUGGGGAGCAAACAGGAUUAGAUACCCUGGUAGUCCAUGCCGUAAACGAUGUCUACUAGCCGUUG
rnacentral:rRNA from 1 species